GGCCCUUAACAUGCAGUCGAACGGCAGCACGGACUUCGGUCUGGUGGCGAGUGGCGAACGGGUGAGUAAUGUAUCGGAACGUGCCCAGUAGCGGGGGAUAACUACGCGAAAGCGUAGCUAAUACCGCAUACGCCCUACGGGGGAAAGCAGGGGAUCGCAAGACCUUGCACUAUUGGAGCGGCCGAUAUCGGAUUAGCUAGUUGGUGGGGUAACGGCUCACCAAGGCGACGAUCCGUAGCUGGUUUGAGAGGACGACCAGCCACACUGGGACUGAGACACGGCCCAGACUCCUACGGGAGGCAGCAGUGGGGAAUUUUGGACAAUGGGGGAAACCCUGAUCCAGCCAUCCCGCGUGUGCGAUGAAGGCCUUCGGGUUGUAAAGCACUUUUGGCAGGAAAGAAACGUCGCGGGUUAAUACCCCGCGAAACUGACGGUACCUGCAGAAUAAGCACCGGCUAACUACGUGCCAGACCC
rnacentral:rRNA from 1 species